UAAGUACUACCUUCGUCCGGAAGUACUUAUCCUAAAAAUGUAAAUAAUGGAUGUAUCUAUAAUUAAAAUAAAUCUAGAUACAUUCAUCUUUAGGACAAGUAUUUUCGAACGGAGGGAGUAUAUA
rfam:Hordeum vulgare subsp. vulgare, WGS project CAJW01000000 data, contig: morex_contig_1850452